GUGAAGUACCCCCACCUCCAUUCAUUCAUCUUAGUCUCACAGUGAACCAACCCUAGCCCUCUGAAGUUCCUCUCCAUCGUCGCCCAGUAGCCCUCCAUCGUCUUCAUCUUCUCAACACCAGUAGCCCUCUCAUCGUCUUCAUAGUCGCCUGGUCCUCAACACCAGUAGCCCUCUAUCGAACCCAGGUGAGUGACGUGUCGUCUUCAUCUUCUCUGAACUUCCUCUGCUCAUCUUCUUCGUUCUUCGCCUCUUCGGUCUUCUUCGGUCUUCAAUUUCUGGUUGUUGGGAUUUCAGGUUGAAUUUCUGAGGUUGGUGGAAAUGGAAGCUCUGACAUUUUUGUCAAGCUGAAUAUGCAACCUUCUGAACCAAAUUGUGGGAGACAUUAAUGGGCAAGUGGGGCUGCACCAAAUUGUGGCUUUCAGUUAAGCGGGCUAUGCCAUUGGAUGAAGGGUUGGCAAUUAGGUUCAAUACAUCUAAUGUGAUCAAGUGGAAGGAAGCAAAACUGCAAAACAGAACCAGGGGUUGCAAAAUACAAAAAUAAAUUGAAGUUAGCUGGAAAACACAACUUCGGGCAUUUCAUUCAACAUGUGAGUGAUACAAUUACUGUUUGCUAGGCAACAGGAGCAAUUAAAGUCUAUGCAAAGAACUCUUGAAGACGAAGAGAAUGGAGUCGUCAGUGGAGCCUCAGGCAGAGAAAAACAGCUUGCUGAGGAACAUAGUAACAAUGAUGUUAAGACUUAAGACAGGAAUGGAUACUACUGUGCAAAAGCAUGAUGACGGAAAUCAAAUUCAAGCUUCAAGCAAUGAAGCAAGUGUCAUUGAGAAACAUGACCCUGAUAAAAAAUGUGAAGAACACCAAAAUACGCAAGAGGUGGAUCAAGUUCAAACUUCAGCCAAUGAAGCAAGUGUCACUGAGAAGCAUCCUUCUGAUAUUACAAGUGAAGAAUGCCGAAAUGCACAUGAAACAGAUCAAGUUCAAACUUCAACCAACAAAGAUAGUGUCACUGAGAAGCAUCACUCUGAUAUUAGAAGUGAAGAAUCCCAAAAGACACAUGACUUUAGCUGCUGUUGUUAACUUGUUAUGCACUUAUACUUCUGUUUUGUUAUGGAAUUAUGGCACUGAGUGUUUUGAAUUUUGAACGUGAUUUGUGAUUUGUGAUUAUAUUAGGGAUUUUGUUAUGCUGCUAUUUUGAAUUAAUUUAGGGGUGAUUAUUUGUCAUGCUACUGUUUUGAAUUAAUUUAGGAGUGAUUAAUGAUUAUUUCUAGUUGUAUUGUUGCUGUUUGCACCAUUGCUCUUUUCACUAUUUAACUUUGUAUUUUGGUAAGAUUAUAUGGAUUUGGUUGACAUUUCAUAUAAUGUUUUAAAUUUGGAAGAUAUUUAAGAUUUA